AUUGAACGCUGGCGGCAGGCCUAACACAUGCAAGUCGAACGAGUGGGGCACGGGUGUGACAUGUCGGGGAACCUGCCUGAUGGCGGGGGAUAACUACUGGAAACGGUAGCUAAUACCGCAUACCAUCGGCUUUGCCCAGAUGGGAUUAGGUAGUAGGUGGGGUAAAGGCUUACCUAGGCGACGAUCCAUAGCUGGUCUGAGAGGAUGACCAGCCACACUGGAACUGAGACACGGUCCAGACUCCUACGGGAGGCAGCAGUGGGGAAUAUUGCACAAUGGGCGCAAGCCUGACGCAGCCAUGCCGCGUGUAUGAUGAAGGCCUUCGGGUUGUAAAGUACUUUCAGCGGGGAGGCGUUACCCGCAGAAGAAGCACCGGCUAACUCCGUGCCAGCAGCCGCGGUAAUUC
rnacentral:rRNA from 1 species